AACAUUAAUUUGGAGUAAAUAUUGUUUGCCAACAUAACAUGGCAGUCAUGGUUUAGGACUAAUGUUGCUGUAAUUUAGCCCCAGGAGACAUCGUCUCCAGCUGGCGAUACGACACGAUCUGUAACCUUGUAGUUUCGAACAAGGAAAU